rnacentral:rRNA from 1 species
GAUGAACGCUGGCGGCGUGCCUAAUACAUGCAAGUCGAGCGAACAGAUAAGGAGCUUGCUCCUUUGACGUUAGCGGCGGACGGGUGAGUAACACGUGGGUAACCUACCUAUAAGACUGGGAUAACUUCGGGAAACCGGAGCUAAUACCGGAUAACAUUUGGAACCGCAUGGUUCUAAAGUGAAAGAUGGUUUUGCUAUCACUUAUAGAUGGACCCGCGCCGUAUUAGCUAGUUGGUAAGGUAACGGCUUACCAAGGCAACGAUCCGUAGCCGACCUGAGAGGGGGAUCGGCCACACUGGAACUGAGACACGGUCCAGGCUCCUACGGGAGGCAGCAGUGGGGAAUGUUCCGCAAUGGGCGAAAGCCUGACGGAGCAACGCCGCGUGAGUGAUGAAGGGUUUCGGCUCGUAAAACUCUGUUAUUAGGUAAGAACAGAUGUGUCCGUAACUGUACCCGUCUUGACGGUACCUAAUCAGAAAGCCACGGCUAACUACGUG